rnacentral:misc_RNA from 1 species
UAAAUGCGAUAAGUAAUGUGAAUUGCAGAAUUCAGUGAAUCAUCGAAUCUUUGAACGCACAUUGCGCUCGCCAGUAUUCUGGCGAGCAUGCCUGUUCGAGCGUCAUUUCAACCAUCAAGCUCUGCUUGCGUUGGGGAUCCGCGGCUGCCCGCGGUCCCUCAAAAACAGUGGCGGGCUCGCUAGUCACACCGAGCGUAGUAACUCUACAUCGCUAUGGUCGUGCGGCGGGUUCUUGCCGUAAAACCCCCAAUUUCUAAGGUUGACCUCGGAUCAGGUAGGAAUACCCGCUGAACUUAAGC